UAGGGAAUCUUCCGCAAUGGGCGAAAGCUUGACGGAGCAACGCCGCGUGAGUGAUGAAGGUCUUCGGAUCGUAAAACUCUGUUAUUAGGGAAGAACAAAUGUGUAAGUAACUAUGCACGUCUUGACGGUACCUAAUCAGAAAGCCACGGCUAACUACGUGCCAGCAGCCGCGGUAAUACGUAGGUGGCAAGCGUUAUCCGGAAUUAUUGGGCGCAAAGCGCGCGUAGGCGGUUUUUUAAGUCUGAUGUGAAAGCCCACGGCUCAACCGUGGAGGGUCAUUGGAAACUGGAAAACUUGAGUGCAGAAGAGGAAAGUGGAAUUCCAUGUGUAGCGGUGAAAUGCGCAGAGAUAUGGAGGAACACCAGUGGCGAAGGCGACUUUCUGGUCUGUAACUGACGCUGAUGUGCGAAAGCGUGGGGAUCAAACAGG
rnacentral:rRNA from 1 species